UUCAUGUAUUUCAACUUUUCCAAUGUCCAGAUAAAUACCCUAUUUGUACCCAUUGAAAACCUUUAAAACUUUAAAUUUGCAUUGUUAUUUUGUGUUUGGCUUGAAGAAAAAAGAUUGAUCUGUAUGCAAAUGUUUACAUUAUAUCUCACAGUCAUAACAAUUUCCAAUUUAUCGACAGUGGUGACCCGGUUUUAGCAUUAUAAUAUGAUUAUUAGUGCUUGUGAUCAUAUUUCAGAUGCCCAGGGGCCUUUAUGGUUGGGUUAGGGAGGGGUGCUCCCUCCCUUCCUUAAUUGAUUUUUAGCUCCAGUGGCCAAAGGCCAGCGGGGCUUAUGUCAUGGUCCUGUGUCCGCCAUGCGUGCGUCCGUCCGUGCCUGCGUGCGUCCGUCCGUGCAUUAACUUUUCCUUUAAACAUCUUCUUCUCCUAAACUACUGGUCCAAUUCUGAUGAAAUUUCUCAGUAAUGUUCCUUGGAUGAACCUAUUUCAAAUUUGUUCAAAUUAUGCGCCUGGGGUCAAAUUUGACCCUGCUCUGGGGUUACAAAAUUGAACAUAUGCUUAUAUAAGGCCUAUUUUGUGAAAUCUUUCAAAAUCUUCUCAUCCAUUACCAUAUGGGCAUGGGGCUAUCAAAUUUGCUAUGUAGAGAUAUCUAAUAGCCCUCUACCAAAUUUGUUCAAAUUAUGCUCCUGGGGUCAAAUUUGAAACUGCCCCGAGGGUCACAAAAUUUAACAUAUGCUUAUAAAGGGGCUAUUUUGUGAAAACUUUACAGAUCUUUUUGUCCAUUACCCUUGGGGUUAGGGCUACCAAAUUUGGUAUGUAGUGACAUCUUAUUGUCCUCUACCAAGUUUGCUCAAAUUAUGUCCCUGGGGUCAAGUUUGACCCUGCCCCGAGGGUCACAAAAUUGAACAUAUGCGUAUAUGAGGCCUAUUUUGUGAAAACUUAAAAAAUCUACUUGUUCAUAACUGUAUGGCAUAGUGCUACCAAAUUUGGUAUGUAUUGACAUGUAUUAGUUCUCUUCUUAGUUUGUUCAAAUUAUGCCCCUGGAGUCAAAUUUAAAACUGCCCCGAGGGUCACAAAUUGAACAUAUGCUUAUAAAUGGCUAAUUUAGGGUAAACUUUAAAAAUCAUUCUUGUUCAUAACCAAUGGGCCUAGGGCUACCAAAUUUGGUAUGAAGUGACAUCUUAUAGUCCUCUACCAAGUUUGUUCAAAUUAUGCCUCUGGGGUAAACUUUGACCCUGCCCGGGGGGGGGGGGGUCACAAAAUUGAAUAAAGCGCCUAUUUUGUGUAAAUUUAAAAAAAAAUCUUGUUGAAAACCAUUCGGACUAUGGCUACCAAAUUUGGUUUGCAGUAACAUCUUAUUGUCGUCUCCCAAGUUUGUUCAAAUUAUGCCCUUUGGGUCAAAUUUGACCCUGACCCGCAGGUCACAAAAUUGAACAUUAUAUACACUUCUUGCUUGCUUAUUUUGUGAAAACUUUUAAAAUAUUCUUGUCCUUAACUCUAGGAUCUAGGGCUACCACAUUUUGUAUGUAGUGAGAUAUAGUAGUUCUAUAUGUGUCCAAUAAUUAUGUUGAUGAAGGUGGCAGUGGUAAUGACUUGAUUUGUCUGUGAGAUAUGAAUGCCAAAAUCUUCGUUUUACAUAACAUGAAUUUUUAUGUAAAAGUGGUGGUUCUUCAUAAAUUCUACAUGUUCUUUGCAAAUGACCUAUACAAAGUUGUUCCAGGAGUACCAUAUUGCCUGACAAUCUUUUGUUUUAUUGUUAACUUAAACUGUACUUGAUUCUAGCAUGCCACUAUACUUCUUUGAAGUAAUUUGAGCAAAUUUCUCACUGUUUAGUAAUGUAUACAUUGUUUAAGGUACAUUAUAAUUUCACAUUUUGUAGGUAGACUUCAAUAUGUAUGAUAUACUUAUGCUGCCACAAUGUAAAGGCAACAAUCACUGGGUUUUGCUGGUUGCAAGUGUUAUGUCCAGGACUGUAACCAUUUACGACUCGUUGGAUGGUAACAACAAGCCCUCGAUUUGUUCUGCCAGUUCAUGUGUCAACGAGCGCAAAUUGUGAAAGAUGGCUUGGAAAAAUUCAGUUCAGAGUUCAAAGCGCCACCUUGCAACAAACAGCGCCAUGGAAACAGCUGUGGAGUGUUUGCAUUGAUGACUGCCAAAUGUUUGGUCAUGAAAAUGCAUCCCACAAUGUUGCGACAGGCCCAUGAUUCAGUUUAUCGAGACUAGUCGUGAGACGCAGACUUCUGAUUCAUGGGGUGCGGCAAACAUAUCUGUGCGACUCGAUGACUUCACUGUAAAGACCCGCACGGCAUUAAAAUGGAUAUUAUCAAUAUGUGUUGUUUCGCGAAAAUAUGUUUUUGUAGCAGGAAGUGCUUUGGGCUCGAUUAAUCUGAGAACUCAACAAAAUAUUAAUAAAAUCCUUCUGUGCCAAAAACAUAUUGACUUAAAUUAAUUAAUCCCGAUGGCGUAAAUGACUUAUCAUUUCAUGUUCAUGAACCGGUUUUAAAAUACUUUGUAGACUUAUCUGCUAGGCGGUGAGGACUUUUAGACCACCUGAUAAACUUCAACUUUAUUUGCCCUAGUUCAGUAACCGACUAAAGAUAUGCUAACAUAAUACUGAUGACUGAUGA